UCCGGUGUCUGCUUAGGUACAGUUCACUCGUUCAGUCAGUGCUUAGUCCGCGGGCUGCCUUGUGCCCAGGUGUACCUCUACACUUGUGUACAAGGCCUCUUUCUUUCUGGGUCUGCAUGGACGACGGAACAAUUCAAAAUGCCCAAAGAACACUCGAGAUUGCGACCAGGAAGCCGGAGCUGCCGGCGGACCGGGACCUGCAGCUGCUGCCCUGCCCCCGGCCGCCUCCAGCCGUCCCAGCUGGCUGCGUCCAAACCCGAGCGGGGCUUUGCUGCGCACUUUGGAGUCGGGCUCUCUCCCUUUCAAAUGCAGGCCUCUUUUGGGAAAAGAAGCCCAAAGGCAGGACGGUCCUAGGUGAUAAGGUGAUGCUCUGCACAUAAACAGCAGCAGAGGAAAGACCGAGCCCAGGCCCCCAAAUGAGCUGGGACGCCGAACCCCAGUAGGGCCAGGGUGACAUGACUCACAACCACCCAUCAGCUAGCAAACUACUUGCAGACAAGGUCUAAGUUUUAUAUGUUUAUACAUUAAAUAAAACCUCGGUUGAAUUUCA